UUUUUUUCUCCUCGCAGACUUGUUUCAUAUAAAAUGUUUAUUAUUAAAAACUCCAGCUAAAAGGUAAACAGAGAAAUAUAUGCAGUCUAGCUUGUAUUGACCACCUCAAAUGGAAAUUUCUUGCUUUUUUAUGUCAUGCCACAAAUCAAAUGGGCACCAGUUUCACUUGAAAGAUUAUUUUGCACGGCAUAAACCAAAUAGAACCAGACUAUCACUUCUCAUGUAGCAAAACAAGGCAUAAGUCUAUCCAGCUUAUGCUCACUAGGUGUUCUAAUGCAGCCAAAUAACUGUUGGGACCAAGCCACAUGAGAGUUGAGACCCUAAUCUGACUGCUUGAAACAAGAGGUUCAACUAUUAUUUUCAAUACAGAAAAUAGGAAAUUUUAGUUGGCCAUAAGCCUAACAGUUCAGUGGCUAAAGCCUGCAGUGCCUGGAAGCAUUAACAUCCAGAGAUCAAACCCUAAAGCUAUCAACCUCACUAAGAUAUAACCAAUAAGUUGAAUCAGGGAAAGGAAGUAGCUCUAUUUGUGUAAUCAGGGCUCAAUGGAAAAUUUUUAGAAAAUAAAAAAGCCUCCUCUUGCUAAAGAGAAAGAAAGAAAAAAAGUAAGGGC
rnacentral:misc_RNA from 1 species